rnacentral:rRNA from 1 species
UACGAAGGGGGCAAGCGUUGUUCGGAAUCAUUGGGCGUAAAGGGCGCGUAGGCGGGCCUGUAAGUCGAUUGUGAAAUCCCUGGGCUUAACCCGGGAAUUGCAGUCGAAACUGCAGGUCUUGAGUUCUCAAGAGGAUGGUGGAAUUCCUGGAGUAGUAGUGAAAUACGUAGAUAUCAGGAGGAACACCGGCGGCGAAGGCGGCCAUCUGGUGAGACACUGACGCUGAGGCGCGAAAGCAUGGGGAGCAAACAGG